CAUGCAAGUCGAGCGGUAGCACAGAGAGCUUGCUCUCGGGUGACGAGCGGCGGACGGGUGAGUAAUGUCUGGGAAACUGCCUGAUGGAGGGGGAUAACUACUGGAAACGGUAGCUAAUACCGCAUAACGUCGCAAGACCAAAGAGGGGGACCUUCGGGCCUCUUGCCAUCAGAUGUGCCCAGAUGGGAUUAGCUAGUAGGUGGGGUAACGGCUCACCUAGGCGACGAUCCCUAGCUGGUCUGAGAGGAUGACCAGCCACACUGGAACUGAGACACGGUCCAGACUCCUACGGGAGGCAGCAGUGGGGAAUAUUGCACAAUGGGCGCAAGCCUGAUGCAGCCAUGCCGCGUGUAUGAAGAAGGCCUUCGGGUUGUAAAGUACUUUCAGCGGGGAGGAAGGCGAUAAGGUUAAUAACCUUGUCGAUUGACGUUACCCGCAGA
rnacentral:rRNA from 1 species